rnacentral:rRNA from 1 species
UACAUGUGGUGCAAGCGUUGUUCGGAAUUACUGGGCAUAAAGGGUGCGUAGGCGGUGUUGUAAGUCUGGGGUGAAAUCCUGCGGCCCAACCGUAGGUCUGCCUCGGAUACUGCGACACUUGAGUGCGUGAGGGGUGAUCGGAACGCGUGGUGUAGCGGUGAAAUGCGUAGAUAUCACGCGGAAGGCCAACGGCGAAGGCAGAUCACUGGUGCGCAACUGACGCUGAGUGCACGAAAGCGUGGGGAGCAAACAGG